AAUGGGCCCGAAACCGGGUGACCUACCCAUGGUCAGGUUGAAGUGGAAGUAAAAUUCCAUGGAGGACCGAACCGACCUCCGUUGAAAAGGCGGCGGAUGAACUGUGGGUAGCGGAGAAAUUCCAAUCGAACCCGGAGAUAGCUGGUUCUCCCCGAAAUAGUUUUAGGACUAGCCUCAAGUUAGAUACCUGGAGGUAAAGCACUGAAUAGCCUAGCGGCCGAGAGGUUAGCGAAGCUUAUCAAACUCAGAAUGCCAGAGUAUUGAUGCUUGGGAGUCAGACAGUGUCAGAUAAAUGUCAUUGUCAAAAGGGAAACAGCCCAGAUCUACAGCUAAGGUCCCAAAGUCAGGUUAAGUGGAAAACGAUGUGAAGAUACGCAGACAACCAGGAUGUUGGCUCAGAAGCAGCCACUCAUUCAAAGAGUGCGUAAUAGCUCACUGGUCGAGCGUCUUUGCGCGGAGAAUUUAACGGGGCUAAACCUGACACCGAAGCUUAGGCAAUCCAGUAAUGGAUUGGGUAGGGGAGCGUUGUAUACGCGGAGAAACAGUAGCGUAAGCGGCUGUGGAGUGUAUAGAAGUGAGAAUGCCGGAAUGAGUAGCGCGAAUGCAGUGAGAAUCUGCAUGGCCGAAAGCCUCAGGUUUUUGGAGGAAGGUUCGUCCGCUCCAAGUUAGUCGGGAGCUAAGGUGAGGCCGGAAGGCGUAGCCGAUGCACAGACGGUAGAGAUUCCGUCACCACCAAAAGAGUUAAGCACAGGGACACAUUUGAAGUCUCAGAGCCGGGUGUUGGUUCCGGUAGAGAUCGAGGGAAAUUAGUACCGAAGUCUGAGAUGGAAGAUGGCGAGAAAAGCUGUGUGUAUUUCUGAGGUGCCCGUACCGCAAACCGACACAGGUAGGUAGGAAGAAGAUUCUAAGGCCAACGGGAGAAGGGUUGUUAAGGAACUCGGCAAAUUGACCCCGUAACUUCGGGAGAAGGGGUGCUCCAGAGAUGGAGCCGCAGAGAAUCGGCCCAAGCAACUGUUUACCAAAAACACAGGUUUGUGCUAAAUCGAAAGAUGACGUAUACGAGCUGACGCCUGCCCGGUGCUGGAAGGUUAAGAGGAGAUGUGCAAGCAUUGAAUCGAAGCCCCAGUGAACGGCGGCCGUAACUAUAACGGUCCUAAGGUAGCGAAAUUCCUUGUCAGGUAAGUUCUGACCCGCAUGAAAGGCGUAAUGAUUUGGGCACUGUCUCAACAGCCCGCCCGGCGAAAUUGUAGUACCGGUGAAGAUGCCGGUUACCCGCAACUAGACGGAAAGACC
rnacentral:rRNA from 1 species